rnacentral:rRNA from 1 species
CGGGGUGAGUAAUGUCUGGGAAACUGCCUGAUGGAGGGGGAUAACUACUGGAAACGGUAGCUAAUACCGCAUAACGUCGCAAGACCAAAGAGAGGGACCUUCGGGCCUCUUGCCAUCGGAUGUGCCCAGAUGGGAUUAGCUAGUAGGUGGGGUAACGGCUCACCUAGGCGACGAUCCCUAGCUGGUCUGAGAGGAUGACCAGCCACACUGGAACUGAGACACGGUCCAG